rnacentral:lncRNA from 1 species
AUGAAGACUGAAUUUCCACAUUGCUCAUCAGCAUGUCUUGGAUCCAGAAGACAACCCUUUCAUGCACACACAUACUUAACAUAGAAAUACGUACUACCGCUUCUUUAAUUCUCCACAAAAGGUGUAAUCCUGCACCUUCACUGUCUUAGUAACACCAGGAGAAACCAUGGCCAAGAUGGAGAAGGAAGGGCUGCCCCAAGGUCUUGGUUUUCUUCAGGGAAAGAGGAUGGGGCAUGGCCUGUGGAAAAGAGUAAAGAACCAGAGAGGAACCUCCUCUCCAGAGAGGAGAAGAGCCAAUAGAAAGCCAACAGAGAUCCCCUGAACUACAGGCAUAUUGAAUCAUAAUUAAGGGAAAAAGGAAUAAGUACCCAAUGGGAUAGCAAAUGCAAAGUUUUUGUCAACUAUAAAGUUGUCAUCAUUAUCCCAUCAUCUUCGUCAUCAAGUCAACUCAAGCCUCUCAUCUAUAAAAUGGAAUGGAUUGGAGAAUGGAUUAGAAACUAGAGUCCAACAAUAUGUUGUUUACAAGAGACAUACUCAAAACAGAAAGAUACACACACAGGCGCUGGAGUAGAAUCUAUUAAGCUUCAGUAGAAGUAAAAAAGACAAUCAUGAUCUUACAAAGUAAAAGCAAAAAUAGACCUAAUUAAAAGAGAUAAUUAGGGAAACUACAUUUUGAUAAAAGGUACCAUAGACAAUGAAGUAAUAUCAAAAAAUUUUACAGAAAGUUUCUCUGAUAAAGGCCGUAUUCCUCAAAUAUAUAGGGAACUGAGUCAAAUUUAUAAAAAUAGGUGUCAUUCCUCAAUUAAUAGAUAGCCAAAAGUUACAAACAAGCAGUAGUCAGAAGAAAUCAAAGCUAUCUAUAGUCACAUGAAAAAUGCUCUAAAUCACUAUUAAUUAGAGAAACACAAAUUAAAAUAACUCUGAGGUACCACCUCACACCUAUCAGAAAUGACAAAUACUAGAGGAGAUGAGGGGAAAUAGGUACACUAAUGAAUUGUUGAUGGAGUUGUGAACUGGUGCAAUAAUUCUGGAGAACAAUUUGGAACUAUGCCUAAAGGGCUAAAAAACUGCAUACCUUUGACUCAGCAAUACCCCUAUUAGGUCUGUAUAUCAAAGAGAUCAAAGAAAAAGGAGAAGGACCUAUAUGUACAAAAAUAUUUAUAGCAGCUGUUUUUGUGGUGACAAAGAAAUGGAAAUUGGGGGGUUCCUAAUCAAUUGGGGAAUGACUGAACAAGUUGUGGUAUUUGAUUGUGAUGGAAUAUUAUUGUGCUGUAAGAAAUGAUGAGGUGGAUGGUUGCAGAAAAAAAAAAACCUAGGAAGAU